GACAAACGCUGGCGGCGUGCGUAACACAUGCAAGUCGAACGAGCCGGGAGACCGGCGAGUGGCGGACGGGUGAGGAACACGUGGAUAACCGACCCUUGACUGGGGAAUACCAAGACGAAAGUUUUGUUAAUACCGCAUACGCUGGAGACAGGAAAGCACUUCGGUGCGGUCGAGGACGGGUCUGCGGACGAUUAGCUAGUUGGUAGGGUAACGGCUUACCAAGGCGAUGAUCGUUAGCUGGUCUGAGAGGAUGAUCAGCCACACUGGGAUUGAGAAC
rnacentral:rRNA from 1 species